rnacentral:rRNA from 1 species
UACGGAGGGUGCAAGCGUUAUCCGGAAUUAUUGGGCGUAAAGAGCUCGUAGGCGGUCUGUCGCGUCGGCUGUGAAAUCCCGGAGCUCAACUCCGGGCCUGCAGUCGAUACGGGCAGACUGGAGUUCGGCAGGGGAGACUGGAAUUCCUGGUGUAGCGGUGAAAUGCGCAGAUAUCAGGAGGAACACCGGUGGCGAAGGCGGGUCUCUGGGCCGAUACUGACGCUGAGGAGCGAAAGCGUGGGGAGCGAACAGG